rnacentral:lncRNA from 1 species
GGGGCCCAGCAGUACCUGGUGCACAUUCAAAAGUACUUUCAACAGGAGCAAAGCCGAGCCUCCCGUGGUGUGCUGGGCUCUGUGCCACCCGGAGGGUGGAAGUGAGGAACGCUGAGUGGGACCACGCUCUUCAGUACCCCACCCGCACUUCCCAUGAAGGAGACAGGAAUGUUGUCCCCAGUGCUGGUCGGUCAGGCAUUCAGUCGACAAACACCCACCCAGCAGAUGGCCUUGGGCUCAGCAGAUGCACAGAACCGGUAAGCACAGCCGAGGAGAACAGCGAGAACGGAGCUGGCCCAAGGGAGAGCCUACCUGGAAAGAGGGCCUCCAGGAGCAUCAUCCCGGCCAUCCUCCACCUGGCCUCUUCCAGAUGCUGUUCCUGCUCUGGCCACAUCUCAGGGAAUCAAGCUGCUGGGGAGGCUUUGGGCCACCUUCUUGACCAUCCACUCCCUGCCGUCCUUCUCCCCUAGCAGCUCAGGCUCUCCCAGAAUCUCCUCUCAGGCCACCCCAGCCUCCCUGCCACCCCCUCUGCCCUGGACCCCAGGGGGGUCCCCUCCCCACUCUGGUCAGGGGCCUGUCCCCCUCUGUCAGAACCGUCCCUCCAGGGAGCUAUUCCACAUCGCCCGUAAGGCUGCCCCUUACAGGCCACCUCUCUCCACGGGUACUGCUCACAUUCCCUAGCCUCAGCCUUAGAACAAACCCCACCACCACCACAGCCUGUGCCCAUGGCUGCAGUACCUACAGAGCACUGAGUGUCCAUCGUCUCAACCAGCCUGACAGGUGGGCCGGCAGGUGAGCAAGCAGGUGACCCAAGAGGGGCAGGAAAGACAAGAGGCUCAGCCAAGCCUCAGGAGGCUCCCGGCACUCGAGGGGCCAAGCUGGGAUUUGUUCCUUUUGCUCCAGCUUUUCAAGGCAGGACUUUCCCCACAGUUCCAUACAGCCCUCUCUAGAGAGCCUAGCAUGGGGGUGCGGUGGGGGAAAUUGCAAACCUGUGACCCAAGGGCCCAGGUGUUUGGUUGGCCAACAGCGUUGUGAAGUGUUGCCUUCCGAUACUGCUGGUGGGUCCUGCUCCGUUCAGCUCUCCAUGGGCCCUCCCACCCCUGCCACCUUCAUGAAUUUCUUCUGUCUGCCUUGCUUCUGGAGGCAUUGGAGUUUGUCGCCCCAAGUGUGACCCCCGGAAGCUGCUUUGUGUCCCUGCCCCUCUACUACCCUGGUGCUCACUACACUCCCUUCCAGCCCUGUUGGCCGGGGGGCUCUCGGCACCAACACUAGUCUCCUCCCUGCACCCUCCCACUCCUCUGAGCUGCUCCACCUUCCGGCUGCACCCUCUCCUCUUUCUUACCCAGAAAAUGCUCAUUCAUCCAUUCAUCCACCGAACACGCACCACAUACACACUCCCAUGGGCCAGGCACUGUUCCGGGUGAGGAGAACCCAAGGGCAGCAAAGAUGGAGUCCCUUCUGUAAAGGGCU